CCUACGGGUGGCUGCAGUGGGGAAUAUUGGACAAUGGGCGAAAGCCUGAUCCAGCCAUGCCGCGUGUGUGAAGAAGGCCUUCGGGUUGUAAAGCACUUUCAGUGGGGAAGAAAGCCUUGGGGCUAAUACCCUCGAGGAAGGACAUCACCCACAGAAGAAGCACCGGCUAACACCGUGCCAGCAGCCGCGGUAAUACGGAGGGUGCGAGCGUUAAUCGGAAUUACUGGGCGUAAAGCGCGCGUAGGCGGUCUGAUAAGCCGGUUGUGAAAGCCCCGGGCUCAACCUGGGAACGGCAUCCGGAACUGUCAGGCUAGAGUGCAGGAGAGGAAGGUAGAAUUCCCGGUGUAGCGGUGAAAUGCGUAGAGAUCGGGAGGAAUACCAGUGGCGAAGGCGGCCUUCUGGACUGACACUGACGCUGAGGUGCGAAAGCGUGGGUAGCAAACAGGAUUAGAUACCCGUGUAGUC
rnacentral:rRNA from 1 species